rnacentral:rRNA from 1 species
GAUGAACGCUGGCGGCGUGCCUAAUACAUGCAAGUCGAGCGAACAGACGAGGAGCUUGCUCCUCUGACGUUAGCGGCGGACGGGUGAGUAACACGUGGAUAACCUACCUAUAAGACUGGGAUAACUUCGGGAAACCGGAGCUAAUACCGGAUAAUAUAUUGAACCGCAUGGUUCAAUAGUGAAAGACGGUUUUGCUAUCACUUAUAGAUGGAUCCGCGCCGCAUUAGCUAGUUGGUAAGGUAACGGCUUACCAAGGCAACGAUGCGUAGCCGACCUGAGAGGGUGAUCGGCCACACUGGAACUGAGACGCGGUCCAGACUCCUACGGGAGGCAGCAGUAGGGAAUCUUCCGCAAUGGGCGAAAGCCUGACGGAGCAACGCCGCGUGAGUGAUGAAGGUCUUCGGAUCGUAAAACUCUGUUAUUAGGGAAGAACAAAUGUGUAAGUAACUAUGCACGUCUUGACGGUACCUAAUCAGAAAGCCACGGCUAACUACGUG